GACGAACGCUGGCGGCGUGCUUAACACAUGCAAGUCGAACGGUGAAGCUCCAGCUUGCUGGAGUGGAUCAGUGGCGAACGGGUGAGUAACACGUGAGCAACCUGCCCCUGACUCUGGAAUAAGCGCUGGAAACGGCGUCUAAUACUGGAUACGAGAAGGGUCCGCAUGGGCACUUUCUGGAAAGUUUUUCGGUUGGGGAUGGGCUCGCGGCCUAUCAGCUUGUUGGUGAGGUAAUGGCUCACCAAGGCGACGACGGGUAGCCGGCCUGAGAGGGCGACCGGCCACAAUGGGACUGAGACACGGCCCAGACUCCUACGGGAGGCAGCAGUGGGGAAUAUUGCACAAUGGGCGAAAGCCUGAUGCAGCGACGCCGCGUGAGGGAUGACGGCCUUCGGGUUGUAAACCUCUUUCAGCAGGGAAGAAGCGAAAGUGACGGUACCUGCAGAAGAAGCACCGGCUAACUACGUG
rnacentral:rRNA from 1 species